AUAAGGAGCUUGCUCCUUUGACGUUAGCGGCGGACGGGUGAGUAACACGUGGAUAACCUACCUAUAAGACUGGGAUAACUUCGGGAAACCGGAGCUAAUACCGGAUAAGAUUUUGAACCGCAUGGUUCAAUAGUGAAAGACGGCCUUGCUGUCACUUAUAGAUGGAUCCGCGCCGUAUUAGCUAGUUGGUAAGGUAACGGCUUACCAAGGCAACGAUACGUAGCCGACCUGAGAGGGUGAUCGGCCACACUGGAACUGAGACACGGUCCAGACUCCUACGGGAGGCAGCAGUAGGGAAUCUUCCGCAAUGGGCGAAAGCCUGACGGAGCAACGCCGCGUGAGUGAUGAAGGUCUUCGGAUCGUAAAACUCUGUUAUCAGGGAAGAACAAACGUGUAAGUAACUGUGCACGUCUUGACGGUACCUGAUCNNNAAGCCACGGCUAACUACGUGCCNNCAGCCGCGGUAAUACNNNNNUGGCAAGCGUUAUCCGGAAUUAUUGGGCG
rnacentral:rRNA from 1 species